rnacentral:rRNA from 1 species
AAGUCUGAUGGAGCAACGCCGCGUGAGUGAAGAAGGGUUUCGGCUCGUAAAGCUCUGUUGGUAGUGAAGAAAGAUAGAGGUAGUAACUGGCCUUUAUUUGACGGUAAUUACUUAGAAAGUCACGGCUAACUACGUGCCAGCAGCCGCGGUAAUACGUAGGUGGCAAGCGUUGUCCGGAUUUAUUGGGCGUAAAGCGAGUGCAGGCGGUUCAAUAAGUCUGAUGUGAAAGCCUUCGGCUCAACCGGAGAAUUGCAUCAGAAACUGUUGAACUUGAGUGCAGAAGAGGAGAGUGGAACUCCAUGUGUAGCGGUGGAAUGCGUAGAUAUAUGGAAGAACACCAGUGGCGAAGGCGGCUCUCUGGUCUGCAACUGACGCUGAGGCUCGAAAGCAUGGGUAGCGAACAGGAUUAGAUACCCUGGUAGUCCAUGCCGUAAACGAUGAGUGCUAAGUGUUGGGAGGUUUCCGCCUCUCAGUGCUGCAGCUAACGCAUUAAGCACUCCGCCUGGGGAGUACGACCGCAAGGUUGAAACUCAAAGGAAUUGACGGGGGCCCACACAAGCGGUGGAGCAUGUGGUUUAAUUCGAAGCAACGCGAAGAAGCUUACCAGGUCU